rnacentral:lncRNA from 1 species
GCGUUUGCUGAUACGGCAGCGCGAACCGAUAACUCGCGAUCCGUUUACGCGACGCGAUGCGAUUUUGCGGUUGAAAAAUCAGCCGGGAUUGUGCGCGGAGACCGACCGACCUGAUUAGCUCCACAAACAGGGGAACGCAACGAGGAGCCUACGAAGUGCGCGUGACCACGGCCUGCGCUGAUCCGGUAAGAUUACGGUUUUCGGGCGAUGGCACCGCGACCCACCCUGGCAAGAACGGUUGCGUCUUGCCAGAUGAUCAGUCAGCAAUGAUGCCCUGCACGGAGCUUUUUUUUUUUCUCUUUUGGAAUGAGAUGGAUCGUGUGGCGGUGUUGUCUUUUUCUACUUGCCUACGAGUGAUCGAAUCGCCACGGAGAGACCAAACUUCAGGUAACCACGUAACCAGAAGCAGGCGAUUUAACGCACGAGAAGCGGACAGCUCGGCCGAACCGAAGCACACCGGUUGCAUCGGAGGCGCCACCUAGAGCGCGAGUGCGGCGCACCUGCCGUUGCGGCUGCGCAUUCAUGGGA